CAGAACCUUUCACUACAAAAUGAAAGCCAGAAUUUUGUGGUUUAGGAUUGGCUCUUACAUGCCGUGAAAACUCAUGUAGGAGGUUGGCUUAUCUUACUACAGCAGCUUUGAGUAGGAAGAAUUAGCCAAAAGUGAAUCAAAAAGGGCGAUGUGAUGUGGAUGAAAGGGCCCUUAACUUUUUUUGCUAAAUUCACCAAGGGCUCUAUGAUGUUCCAAAAGCAAUCUUUGCCUCAGCCCUGGCGUUUCUCUUCUUGGCUGUCCAGAAGGAGGUUGUGCUUCUCCCUAGUGGAGGAACCUCUAACAUACCUGCAGUCAUCCAGUCCCAAAGCUCUAGGCAGCAAUGGACCACCAUUCCAUGGGUCCUCUACUGUAACACAGAUCUCCUGGAUGUGCAAGUGACAUUCUCCAUCUUCUUUUCACCUGGUGUGUGAAUAAUGGGGUGUGAAGAAAGAAAGCAAAAUAUUCUGUAAGUAAAUAAUAGGUUUGCCUCUGAUGCAGAAAACCAAUAUUUACUGUUAUAAUAAAAUAAGUACAUAUAGAUAUAUAAAAGGUUAUCAGAAUUAUAUAUUGAAGUAUCACCUAAAAUGAUUGAAUUUUGUUGUUUCAAGAUUGGGAAACAGAGAUGAAGUAAUUCAGAAAAUGGUUUCUUACGAUAAGCCUUACAUAUCGAUUUGACUCUGGAGACUAUGUACCUGUG
rnacentral:lncRNA from 10 species